GACGAACGCUGGCGGCGUGCUUAACACAUGCAAGUCGAGCGAUGAAGCACCUUCGGGUGUGAAUUAGCGGCGAACGGGUGAGGAACACGUGAGAAAUCUGCCUUCAACUCUGGGAUAACUCCGGGAAACUCGGGCUAAUACCGCAUAAUACUCUACGGAGGAAAUCUGGCUGCGCAAGUAGCUGGGGCUUUAGGAUGAACCUACAUCCGAUUAGCUAGUUGGUGAGGUAAUGGCUCACAAAGGCGAUGAUCGGUAGCUGGUCGGAGAGGAUGACCAGCCACACUGGGACUGAGACACGGCCCAGACUCCUACGGGAGGCAGCAGUGGGGAAUAUUGGACAAUGGGGGAAACCCUGAUCCAGCAAUGCCGCGUGGGUGAAGAAGGCCUUCGGGUUGUAAAGCCCUUUAGGCGGGGAAGAAGGUUAUAGGGCGAUAAACCUUAUAAUUUGACGGUACCCGCAGAAUAAGCACCGGCUAA
rnacentral:rRNA from 1 species